CCGGUUCCCGCGCGGCGCUCCAAAGCUCGGGGAGUGGUGGUCUCCCUUUCCUGGAGUCAUUUGUGGGAGUUAGGGUCUUAUCCUGAUCUUUCCUCGUCCCCCGCUCCCCCGUCCUCCGAGGUGGCAGCUGCGUAGAUCGGGGGUCAUACUACACAUCGAUCGGGACCUUAGUCAUGUUGUGAUAUGGACAGCUUUCUUACCAGUACUCAUAAGCCUGCUUCAUUUUUUACGUGGCGGCACCACUGAGUGGUUGACGGUAAGUCUGGAACGUUUUUUCUUAGAGUUCCAGAAUUGAGACUGAAGUGUACCCAGAGACACAAAGAAAUACAGAAGUCCAGAAUGAUCAAAUGAGAUCACUACCCAAUGAAAUGAUGGGCCGAGGAGCCAGAAGUUGUCCUACUACCUGCUUUCCAGGUCCAGAUUCCACGAGAGCCUUCUGGGCUCCCACCAGAGACCCUCAGUGAAGACUCUGUUGAAGACUUUAAGACCAUGCUAGAAAGCCUCCCGGCAGAGGUUCAGGAAGUUCUGCUAUGAGGAUGCAGCUGGCCCCAGGGAUGUCCUCAGGCAUCUCUAGGACCUUGCUGGACGGUGGUGGCUGAGACCUGAUAUCCACACAAAGGAGCAGACUGUGGAAAUGCUGGUGCAGGAGCAAUUCCAGGCUGUCCUGCCCGAGGAGCUCAGAGCUCAAGCACAGAGAUGUCAGCCUGGAAUCAGAAUCACUGGCUAAGUCUUGCUGCUUGCUUCUUGCUCAGCCUGCAUAUGAGAAGUCAACCAAGCAUUCUCUUGGAUGCAAGAUCCAACUGCACCCAUGGGAAAUCUGAACUUCCACUUUCUUUGAGCUUGUCUUUGGUUGUAAUAAGAAUCCAUCAAAACCCAUGUCUGGAUCUCUCUUUGGCUGAGGCAGCUUUAUUUCCUACAGAAA
rnacentral:lncRNA from 10 species